rnacentral:rRNA from 1 species
UCGAACGGCAGCAUAGGUGCUUGCACCUGAUGGCGAGUGGCGGCCCUGUGAGUAAUACAUCGGAACAUGCCUAUUAGUGGGGGAUAACUUAUCGAAAGAUUAGCUAAUACCGCAUAAUCUCUGAGGAGGAAAGCUGGGGACCUUUUGGCCUGGCGCUGAUAGAUUGGCCGAUGGUCGAUUAGUUAGUUGGUGGGGUAAGAGCCUACCAAGGCGAUGAUCGAUAGCUGUUCUGAGAGGAAGAUCAGCCACACUGGGACUGAGACACGGCCCAGACUCCUACGGGAGGCAGCAGUGGGGAAUUUUGGACAAUGGGGGCAACCCUGAUCCAGCAACGCCGCGUGAAUGAAGAAGGCCUUAGGGUUGUAAAGUUCUUUUAUCUGGGAGCAAAUCUUAUUAGUGAAUAGCUGAUGAGAAUGAGAGUACCAGAAGAAUAAGCACCGGCUAACUACGUGCCAGCAGCCGCGGUAAUACGUAGGGUGCGAGCGUUAAUCGGAAUUACUGGGCGUAAAGCGUGCGCAGGCGGAUGUGUAAGUUAGAUGUGAAAUCCCCGAGCUUAACUUGGGAAUAGCAUUUAAGACUGCAUGUCUAGAGUUUGUCAGAGGGGGGUAGAAUUCCAAGUGUAGCAGUGAAAUGCGUAGAGAUUUGGAGGAAUACCGGUGGCGAAGGCGGCCCCCUGGGAUAGAACUGACGCUCAUG